AAGGUUGGACAAUUAAAUCCACUAGUUGGACAAUGCAAUCUACUAGUUGGACAAUUAAAAUUAUGUCCUAAAUCAUCAAUUCAUUCAUUCCUUUAGACUGCAGAUAUAAAUAAAACUUAAAUUUGAUGGUAUUUUACUUCUAACACGUUUCCUUAAAAUUCAAAGGUUGGACAAUUAAAUCCACCAGUUGGACAAUUAAAAUCACUAGUUGGACAAUUAAAAUUAUGCACUAAAUCAUCAAUUCAUUCAUUCCUUUAGACUGCAGAGAUGAAGAAAAAUUAAAUUUGAUAGUAUUUCACUUAUAAAGCGUAUCCUCAAAAUUCAAAGGUUGGACAAUUAAUUCCACUAGUUGGACAAUGCAAUCUACUAGUUGGACAAUUAAAAUUAUGCACUAAAUCAUCUAUUCAUUCAUUCCUUUAGACUGCAGAUAUAAAUAAAACUUAAAUUUGAUGGUAUUUUACUUCUAACACGUUUCCUUAAAAUUCAAAGGUUGGACAAUUAAAUCCACCAGUUGGACAAUUAAAUUCACUAGUUGGACAAUUAAAUUCACUAGUUGGACAAUUAAAUCUACUAAUUGGACAAUUAAAUCUACUAAUUGGACAAUUAAAAAUAUGCACUAAAUCAUUAAUUUAAUUAUUCCUUUGCAUUGCAGAGAUAAAGAAAAAUUAAAUUUGAUAGUAUUUCACUUAUAAAGCGUAUCCUCAAAAUUCAAAGGCUGGACAUUUAAUUCCACUAGUUGGACAAUGCAAUCUACUAGUUGGACAAUUAAAAUUAUGCACUAAAUCAUCUAUUCAUUCAUUCCUUUAGACUGCAGAGAUGAAUAAAAUUUAAAUUUGAUAGUAUUUCACUUAUAAAGCGUUUCCUAAAAAUUCAAAGGUUGGACAAUUAAUUCCACUAGUUGGACAAUUAAAUUCACUAGUUGGACAAUUAAAAUUAUGUCCUAAAUCAUCAAUUCAUUCAUUCCUUUAGACUGCAGAGAUGAAUAAAAUUUAAAUUUGAUAGUAUUUUACUUGUAACAAGUUUCCUAAAAAAUCAAAGGUUGGACAAUUAAAUCCACUAGUUGGACAAUUAAAUCCACUAGUUGGACAAUUAAAAUUAUGUCCUAAAUCAUCAAUUCAUUCAUUCCUUUAGACUGCAGAGAUGAAUAAAAUUUAAAUUUGAUAGUAUUUUACUUGUAACAAGUUUCCUAAAAAAUCAAAGGUUGGACAAUGAAAUCCACUAGUUGGACAAUUAAAUUCACUAGUUGGACAAUUAAAAUUAUGUCCUCAUUUUAGAACAAUAAGAUUAUCGGGAUACAAGUGAAAAACUAUCAAUUUUUAAUUUUUCUUCUUCUAUUCAGUCUAAAAAAUGGAUUCAUUCAUAAAUUAAUUAUCAAAUUUGAUUGUCCAACUCGUCCACUGAAUUGUCCAAUUAGUAGAUUCAAUUGUCGAACAAGUAUUUUGAAUUGUCCAACCCUAGAAUUUAAAGAAAUCGCGUUUCAAGUGGAAAACUAUCAAUUUUAACUUUUCUUCUUCUGUACGGUCAAAAAAUAUGGAUUCAUUAAUGAAUUUGGUAUCAUUUCAAUUGUCCAACUAGUACUAAGAAUUGUCCAACUAGUAUAUUUAAUUGUCCAAUUCUAGAAUUUAAAGAAAUCGCGUUUCCACUGGAAAACUAUCAAUUUUAACUUUUCUUCUUCUGUACGGUCAAAAAAUAUGGAUUCAUUAAUGAAUUUGGUAUCAAUAUCAAUUGUCCAACUAGUACUAAGAAUUGUCCAACUAGUAUAUUUAAUUGUCCAAUUCUAGAAUUUAAAGAAAUCGCGUUUCCACUGGAAAACUAUCAAUUUUAACUUUUCUUCUUCUGUACGGUCAAAAAAUAUGGAUUCAUUAAUGAAUUUGGUAUCAAUAUCAAUUGUCCAACUAGUACAAAGAAUUGUCCAACUAGUAUAUUUAAUUGUCCAACCGUAGAAUUUAAAGAAAUCGCGUUUCCAGUGGAAAACUAUCAAUUUUAACUUUUCUUCUUCUGUACGGUCAAAAAAUAUGGAUUCAUUAAUGAAUUUGGCAUCAAUUUCAAUUGUCCAACUAGUACUAAGAAUUGUCCAACUAGUAUAUUUAAUUGUCCAAUUCUAGAAUUUAAAGAA